rnacentral:rRNA from 1 species
CAGUCGCCGCGGUAAUACGAAGGGUGCAAGCAUUACUCGGAAUUACUGGGCGUAAAGCGUGCGUAGGUGGUGGUUUAAGUCCGUUGUGAAAGCCCUGGGCUCAACCUGGGAAUUGCAGUGGAUACUGGGUCACUAGAGUGUGGUAGAGGAUAGUGGAAUUUCCGGUGUAGCAGUGAAAUGCGUAGGGAUCGGAAGGAACAUCUGUGGCGAAGGCGACUAUCUGGGCCAACACUGACACUGAGGCACGAAAGCGUGGGGAGCAAACAGGAUUAGAGACCCGCGUAGUCCCUGUCUCUUAUAC